AUUGCCCCAGUAACGGCGAGUGAAGCGGCAACAGCCCAAAUUUGAAAUCUGGCCCCUGCGGGGUCCGAGUUGUAAUUUGGAGAGGAUGCUUCGGCGACGGCCCCGGGGCAAGUUCCCUGGAACCGGAUGCCACAGAGGGUGAGAGCCCCGUACCCGCCCGGGUGUCCGCCGCCGGACGAAGCGCCUUCGACGAGUCGAGUUGUUUGGGAAUGCAGCUCAAAGCGGGAGGUAAAUUUCUUCCAAGGCUAAACACCGGCCAGAGACCGAUAGCGCACAAGUAGAGUGAUCGAAAGAUGAAAAGCACUUUGGAAAGAGAGUCAAACAGCACGUGAAAUUGUUGAAAGGGAAGCUCUUGCUGCCAGACGUGCCGCGGGCGCUCAGCCCCCCUCCGGGGGGGUGUACUCGCCCGCGGCGGGCCAGCGUCAGUCGGGGCGGCCGGAUAAAGGCCCGGGGAACGUAGCCCCCCUCGGGGGGUGUUAUAGCCCCGGGUGCCAUACGGCCCGCCCCGACUGAGGCCCGCGUUCGCCCGGACGCUGGCGUAAUGGUCGCAAGCGACCCGUCUUGAAACACGGACCAAGGAGUCUAACAUCUGUGCGAGUGUUCGGGUGUCAAACCCGUGCGCGUAAUGAAAGUGAACGGAGGUGGGACCCCCGCCCGGGGCGCACCAUCGACCGAUCCUGAUGUCCUCGGAUGGAUUUGAGUAGGAGCAUAGCUGUUGGGACCCGAAAGAUGGUGAACUAUGCGUGUGUAGGGUGAAGCCAGAGGAAACUCUGGUGGAGGCUCGCAGCGGUUCUGACGUGCAAAUCGAUCGUCAAACAUGCGUAUAGGGGCGA
rnacentral:rRNA from 1 species